UUUUCGGAGAGUUUGAUCCUGGCUCAGAGUGAACGCUGGCGGCGUGGAUUAGGCAUGCAAGUCGCGCGAUGUUUUAGGCGGAGAGGCUGAAGCCGUAAGGCGGAUGCCAAUCUGUUUAGAGUAUAGCGGCAAACGGGUGAGUAAUACGUGAGUAAUCUACCUUUAAGUCGAGGAUAGCCUUGCGAAAGCGAGGGUAAUACUUGAUGUGGUUCUGAUGGUUUACUCUGUCAGAGAAAAAGCUCCUUGAGCAAUCAGGGAGCGCUUGAGGAUGAGCUCGCGCCCUAUCAGCUAGUUGGUGAGGUAAUGGC
rnacentral:ncRNA from 1 species